GAUGAACGCUGGCGGCGUGCCUAAUACAUGCAAGUAGAACGCUGAAGCUUGGUGCUUGCACCGAGCGGAUGAGUUGCGAACGGGUGAGUAACGCGUAGGUAACCUGCCUGGUAGCGGGGGAUAACUAUUGGAAACGAUAGCUAAUACCGCAUGACAACAGUUAUUGCAUGAUAACUGUUUAAAAGGGGCAACUGCUCCACUACCAGAUGGACCUGCGUUGUAUUAGCUAGUUGGUGAGGUAACGGCUCACCAAGGCGACGAUACAUAGCCGACCUGAGAGGGUGAUCGGCCACACUGGGACUGAGACACGGCCCAGACUCCUACGGGAGGCAGCAGUAGGGAAUCUUCGGCAAUGGACGGAAGUCUGACCGAGCAACGCCGCGUGAGUGAAGAAGGUUUUCGGAUCGUAAAGCUCUGUUGUAAGAGAAGAACGAGUGUGAGAGUGGAAAGUUCACACUGU
rnacentral:rRNA from 1 species